UACGGAGGGUGCAAGCGUUAUCCGGAUUCACUGGGUUUAAAGGGUGCGUAGGCGGGCAGGUAAGUCAGAGGUGAAAUCUCCGGGCUUAACCCGGAAACUGCCUUUGAUACUAUCUGUCUUGAAUAUGGUGGAGGUAAGCGGAAUAUGUCAUGUGGCGGUGAAAUGCUUAGAGAUGACAUAGAACACCUAUUGCGAAGGCAGCUUACUACGCCUAUAUUGACGCUGAGGCACGAAAGCGUGGGGAUCAAACAGG
rnacentral:rRNA from 1 species